CAUCAGCACGGCUCUGAAAGGGGGAUGGGAGAGCGAGCAGAAAGCAGAAAAACCAGCUUUGAACUAUGCAUGCAAGGCCUCUCUCAAGACUCAAAUUCUCAAUCCCGGACACCUGCACUGAGCUCUGGCUCUCUGCCCUGCAGUGCGGAAGGCGCUGGAAUACACCUGUAGAGGUGACAAGCUUCCUGCUCCAAUUUCAUACGUGAUGAAAAUUGACUGCAGAAGACCCACUGCUAUGAAUUUAAGGCUCCAGAUUCUGUGUGCUCAUCUCCAGCCUGCUCCGUGACAACUAGGCUGUCCCACGACGUGCAGUUGACAUGCAAGGUGAGGAGCAUUGCCAGCACUCAAGCAGAGGCGGUGGAUGAGUGUGAGGGCACACGCAGCAGAGCCGGGGGUCCCCUGUCAUCCGUGCAGGCUAACGGGUCGAGCUUGCCCAGGAGCCCUGUGGAGCUUGGCUGUGCUCAGCCCCAGCAGUGACGGCUGACAGCCACAGAGGUGAGUGUCCGCUGUCAAGAUUCUUUGUGCAACACACUCCCUCCUCCCACACCCUCCUGUCUGCUCAAGGAUGGACUCUGUAUGUGCACACAGGCUCUUUUAAAAAGCCCAUCAAACUCGUCCUAGAAACACGACCCUGCCAAUCCCCUUCCGAUUACAGAGCGCCAAAGAGACACACUGACUUGAGCCCCCAACUAUAUGCUCUCAUCCUUGAAUGGGAUUUUUACUAAGAAGUGAGAGCUGCUUUAUUUUUUAAUAAGGUGCUUAAGGAUAUUUGGAAAGAGUUUUCCAAGAAGCCAUACUGCCACGCACAGACAGAACUCUGAACCGUGAGCCAGGGCCUGGGUUCCCUUUUCUCCUACAGCCAACAGUUCCUUCCUCGAAAUGUGCUUUCUUGGGCUCUGACCGCGAUGUCUGUCGUUCUUUCCACCUAAUCAUGAAAGCGUGGGUCUUUCUUCCUUACAAACACCAUCCAUAACUCUCCUGUUCCACGGAAUUCCCCAAGUUAAAACCAUCCUGCACAGCUUUCUCUAGAUGCCCCCAGAAAGCCCUAGCGGUUACUCCACAGUCUCAAACAGCCCCUCCUAGGAGACGUACUCGUUUCCAAUGUUGUUACAGACACACACGUCCUGCACACUAAAGUCCGUUUCCUUUUUAUUCUCCUGUAAUGCCGAACCCAGUGCCAUGCACAUAAUGACCGUGACAAACAGCUGGGUACAGACAUGAGCAAAAACAACACCGCUGCUCCUACCCAGACAGGAGAGUGGACUGUGCGUCUUACCGAACGGAGCUUUUUGCACUAGGACUGGGUGAUCCGGCCAAUACACGGAGCAGACCGAGGCCAGGGGUAUCGACAGCCGCCACAGGGCGCACGCUGAGGUAAGGCUUCCAACGUCCGGGACAACACAGUUACCCGAACACCUGCCGCCUCUCCCUCUGGCCUCCCUCCAGAGAGCUCUCCUCGGGACGGGACGGGCAGAGUGAGUGUCUAGCAAAGAAAACCUGGCUCCAUCACCCCCUCCAGCUUAAGGGCUGUCUCCAAACUCCCGCAACCGUGGUCACCACCUCCCUGCUCGGGCUGGGCCUGGCGGCCCGCUCUCCACGCUCAGGUCCUGGCGAGGCCCUCCCCGCUGCCCAGGCGUCGCUCCUGGCCCCCUCGGCUGUAACUCCGUCCCUCUGCCAACCCCGAGGGGACGUCCCCGCACAGGGACCCGUAGCUGAGGCGCCUGCGAAGUCUGAGGGUUGCUCUGAGGACGUGCGAAGACCCGAAGGGGAGGAGCUCUACGUGUGGGUGUGCGCGCGCGCGCACGUGUGUAUGUGCGUGUGCGUGCGCGCGCGCGCGCGCGGCACUGAGAGCCCGCGUG